AGCGCAGGCGGGAAGACAAGUUGGAAGUGAAAUCUAUGGGCUCAACCCAUAAACUGCUUUCAAAACUGUUUUUCUUGAGUAGUGCAGAGGUAGGCGGAAUUCCCGGUGUAGCGGUGGAAUGCGUAGAUAUCGGGAGGAACACCAGUGGCGAAGGCGACCUACUGGGCACCAACUGACGCUGAGGCUCGAAAGCAUGGGUAGCAAACA
rnacentral:rRNA from 1 species